GCCCCAUGAGCCUGCCUCAGUUUCAAAACCCAAAAAAAGCACCGAUGAGUCAAGGUGGAUUUUCCAUGGUUUUCAGAGUUCAACAAACUGAUCAGAAGAAUCUCAAGAACAAUCCCAGUGAAGGCCUUACAUGCAUCUCUGAUUCUUUUUGUCUUUUGACAGUCCACUCUCUUUUCUCAAAUUGUUUGGACGUUUUCCAGAUUAGGAUGAAGGCUAAAAAGUAAUCCCUUUGGAUGCCGACAGUUCCCACAGUAAGGAGUAAGGAGACAAGGUGGUACAAAUCCAGUGAAGGAAGCUGUUGUUUAAGUCAAGUCAUAGACACUGCUGCAAAUUAAAACAGUUAUUUAGUUCUUCAGUUCAAACCAAGUCCCUUCGGAAACAGGCAAUGGGAGCUGAGAGAUCUUUUGAAGCAAGUGGCACACAUUUCUUUAUUUCUUUUGUGAAAUUAGGAGUUUACAAGCUUCUUUGCCAAGGAAACUGAACCUGCAGUAUAAGGAGCCUUAUCAUCUACAAGUGUACAGAUAUUCCUUAUGCCAUGAUUUGUAAUUCAGUCUUAAUCAGGCUAGGAGAAAAGGAAGAAAACUAGCUGGAGAAAGAGGUAAUUUUUGACAUUUGAACAAGAAUUUUUAAAUGUAAGUUAUAUUUGCUUGAUACUUAUGAUUUGAUUUGAUCAUUAUCUCUUCC
rnacentral:lncRNA from 1 species